ensembl:lincRNA
GAGGAAAUGGAGAAAAGUAAGAUGGAAUUUUUUCAGUACCUUGAAGGCACACAGUCAAGGAAAUACAUGACAAGUGAAAGUUAUUUCAAUCCUCGUAGGUCAGCACGAGUCCAUAUUCUGUCAACAACAAAUUCAAAUGAGCUAUUAGGAAGGGAGAGGACACUCCUUUAACUCCCGGCUUUACACCGGAUGGAGAUAGCAGCGUGGAUAGAAGCAAACUGCGUCAGAGAGCUGCUGACUUAAACGAGGAAGCUCCUUCUGAAAACUGCUGGACUUUGCUCUCUGAACAUUACUAAAUGCAUCUCCAAUUAUUACAAAGUACUACCCAACUGCUUAAAAACCUAGACCAGUCCAGCAGAAAUGGGGAUGCAGCUUUGAGGAGAACAGAGCAAGACAUCAUAAGCAGGGAGACCCUGUGCACACUUAACAGAGUCCACUGAUGCGUGGGCAAUUUAAAGGCAUCUUCUGGGUGGACUGUGGAUGGAACAACGAGUAUAUCCUGCAGCGAUCCAUACAUCAGGUCCCAACAAUGCUAUUUGCAACUCUAUACAUAAAGGCCACAAAUCAAAUGCCCCAGUUCUCAAAAAACUUAGCGAGAAGCUCUGUCAUCAACUGAACAAGAAUGACCACUUUAUAAUGAAACAGAGUCAGGAACAUCUUUGAGAACAUGCUGGAGUCUGCUGAUCUGAGAGAAAACAAUUUCCAUCCUAUGAAACAGUUCGCUUCAACUAUUCACGUCCUUACGGCAACAAAAGCAAAGCAGUCCUGUGCACUUUGUAUUAGAGGAGUGUAAUUCAGUUACAGACAAC